rnacentral:RNase_P_RNA from 1 species
AUGUUUGAGUAAUCGCUGCACAUCUGAUGUGUAGAGGAAAGUCCAUGCUCACACAGGCUGAGACGCUUGUAGUGUUCGUGCUUGACGAAGUCAUAAGUCAAGGUAGCCAUUGGUUAACGGCAGGGAGACCACCUAAGUCUUUGGAUAUGGUGCAAGUACCCUUGAAAGUGCCACAGUGACGUAGUCGUUUUGGAAACAAAACGAGUGGAACGAGGUAAACCCCACGAGUGAGCAACCCAAAUAUUGGUAGGGGCAUCCUUGAUUAGGGAAUGGAACCGAAAAAGGGACAAGCUCUUUGCUUGUAGAUAGAUGAUUACUGCUUAAUGUACGAGGCUGACCACCGUUUGUAGUACUAAAGUACAGAACAUGGCUUACAAAA